UGCAUGAAGUCUGUUGAUGAUCAGAGGCUGUUGUCGGGGCAGACCACGCAGGCCAGCCCGAUGGUCACCAAGGUUCAUGUUUUAAUAGCAUUU